rnacentral:rRNA from 1 species
CAGUAGGGAAUCUUCCACAAUGGGCGCAAGCCUGAUGGAGCAACACCGCGUGAGUGAAGAAGGGUUUCGGCUCGUAAAGCUCUGUUGUUAAAGAAGAACACGUAUGAGAGUAACUGUUCAUACGUUGACGGUAUUUAACCAGAAAGUCACGGCUAACUACGUGCCAC